UCGAUUCCCUUAGUAGCGGCGAGCGAAACGGGAAGAGCCCAAACCAACAAGCUUGCUUGUUGGGGUUGUAGGACACUCUAUACGGAGUUACAAAGGACGACAUUAGACGAAUCAUCUGGAAAGAUGAAUCAAAGAAGGUAAUAAUCCUGUAGUCGAAAAUGUUGUCUCUCUUGAGUGGAUCCUGAGUACGACGGAGCACGUGAAAUUCCGUCGGAAUCUGGGAGGACCAUCUCCUAAGGCUAAAUACUCUCUAGUGACCGAUAGUGAACCAGUACCGUGAGGGAAAGGUGAAAAGCACCCCGGAAGGGGAGUGAAAUAGAACCUGAAACCGUGUGCUUACAAGUAGUCAGAGCCCGUUAAUGGGUGAUGGCGUGCCUUUUGUAGAAUGAACCGGCGAGUUACGAUUUGAUGCAAGGUUAAGCAGUAAAUGUGGAGCCGUAGCGAAAGCGAGUCUGAAUAGGGCGUUUAGUAUUUGGUCGUAGACCCGAAACCAGGUGAUCUACCCUUGGUCAGGUUGAAGUUCAGGUAACACUGAAUGGAGGACCGAACCGACUUACGUUGAAAAGUGAGCGGAUGAACUGAGGGUAGCGGAGAAAUUCCAAUCGAACCUGGAGAUAGCUGGUUCUCUCCGAAAUAGCUUUAGGGCUAGCCUCAAGUGAUGAUUAUUGGAGGUAGAGCACUGUUUGGACGAGGGGCCCCUCUCGGGUUACCGAAUUCAGACAAACUCCGAAUGCCAAUUAAUUUAACUUGGGAGUCAGAACAUGGGUGAUAAGGUCCGUGUUCGAAAGGGAAACAGCCCAGACCACCAGCUAAGGUCCCAAAAUAUAUGUUAAGUGGAAAAGGAUGUGGCGUUGCCCAGACAACUAGGAUGUUGGCUUAGAAGCAGCCAUCAUUUAAAGAGUGCGUAAUAGCUCACUAGUCGAGUGACACUGCGCCGAAAAUGUACCGGGGCUAAACAUAUUACCGAAGCUGUGGAUUGUCCUUUGGACAAUGGUAGGAGAGCGUUCUAAGGGCGUUGAAGCAUGAUCGUAAGGACAUGUGGAGCGCUUAGAAGUGAGAAUGCCGGUGUGAGUAGCGAAAGACGGGUGAGAAUCCCGUCCACCGAUUGACUAAGGUUUCCAGAGGAAGGCUCGUCCGCUCUGGGUUAGUCGGGUCCUAAGCUGAGGCCGACAGGCGUAGGCGAUGGAUAACAGGUUGAUAUUCCUGUACCACCUAUAAUCGUUUUAAUCGAUGGGGGGACGCAGUAGGAUAGGCGAAGCGUGCGAUUGGAUUGCACGUCUAAGCAGUAAGGCUGAGUAUUAGGCAAAUCCGGUACUCGUUAAGGCUGAGCUGU
rnacentral:rRNA from 1 species